rnacentral:tRNA from 3 species
CAGAAUAUAGCUCAAUAAGAAAAGCAUCUCCCUUACACUGAGAAGACAUUUGUGCAAAUCAAAUUAUUCUGA